rnacentral:rRNA from 1 species
UACGUAGGGUGCAAGCGUUGUCCGGAAUUAUUGGGCGUAAAGAGCUCGUAGGCGGUUUGUCGCGUCUGCUGUGAAAACUCGGGGCUUAACCCCGGGCCUGCAGUGGGUACGGGCAGACUAGAGUGCGGUAGGGGAGACUGGAAUUCCUGGUGUAGCGGUGAAAUGCGCAGAUAUCAGGAGGAACACCGGUGGCGAAGGCGGCAUCCUGGACCGGUAUUGACGCUGAGGCGCGAAAGCUAGGGUAGCAAACGGG